CAGCCGCCGCGGUAAUACGAAGGGUGCAAGCGUUAAUCGGAAUUACUGGGCGUAAAGCGCACGUAGGCGGCUUGGUAAGUUAGAGGUGAAAGCCUGGAGCUCAACUCCAGAAUUGCCUUUAAGACUGCCGAGCUAGCAGGUGAGAGAGGUAAGUGGAAUUCCGAGUGUAGAGGUGAAAUUCGUAGAUAUUCGGAAGAACACCAGUGGCGAAGGCGGCUUACUGGCUCAUACUGGACGCUGAGGUGCGAAAGCGUGGGGAGCAAACAGGAUUAGAUACCCCUGUAGUCCCUGUCUCUUAUAC
rnacentral:rRNA from 1 species